rnacentral:rRNA from 1 species
GAUCCUGGCUCAGAAUCAACGCUGGCGGCGCGCUUAACACAUGCAAGUCGAACGAGAAAGGGGAGCAAUCCCUGAGUACAGUGGCGUCCGGGUGAGUAACACGUGGGUAAUCUACCCUUUGGUGGGGAAUAACCCUGGGAAACCGGGGAUAAUACCGCAUAACUCCGAGAGGAGAAAGCCGAAAGGCGCCGAAGGAGGAGCCCGCGGCCGAUUAGCUAGUUGGUAGGGUAAUGGCCUACCAAGGCCAAGAUCGGUAGCCGGCCUGAGAGGGCACACGGCCACACUGGCACUGAAACACGGGCCAGACUCCUACGGGAGGCAGCAGUGGGGAAUCUUGCACAAUGGGGGAAACCCUGAUGCAGCGACGCCGCGUGAGCGAUGAAGCCCUUCGGGGUGUAAAGCUCUUUCGGCAGGAACGAUAAUGACGGUACCUGCAGAAGAAGCUGCGGCUAACUACGUGCCAGCAGCCGCGGUAAUACGUAGGCAGCAAGCGUUGUUCGGAGUUACUGGGCGUAAAGAGUAUGUAGGCGGUUGCGUAAGUUCGGUGUGAAAUCUCCCGGCUUAACUGGGAGGGUGCGCCGAAAACUGCGUGGCUUGAGUGCGGGAGAGGAGAGCGGAAUUCCUGGUGUAGCGGUGAAAUGCGUAGAUAUCAGGAGGAACACCGGCGGUGUAGACGGCUCUCUGGACCGUAACUGACGCUGAGAUCGAAA